rnacentral:rRNA from 1 species
AUGACCUGCACUGCUGAUAUUUGGCCACCAGAUGCAAAGAUUGAACCUCGCAUGGAGAUCAAAACAGAGCAGAAUGAUGCUUCAAAAACUGAGGUGUUCGCAUGCCCUGUUUGCUAUGAACCGCUGAUAAGGAAAGGGCCAUCAGGCGUGAACCCUGAUUUCUGUUGUUUUGGCUUCUACAUGUGUCCCAGGCCAGUGAUUUAUAGGUCAGGAUUUAAAUGUUCAAAAUGCAGCAAGUCAUUCACCAGCAAAGAUAUCUUCUUGGAUCUCACUGUCACCUCAGGCAUGAAAGAAUACAGUGAACUGAAGCCUGCUAGAACUGAGCUGUUCAGGAGCCCGCUCUUGUCCUUUCUUUACGAGAGGGGGUGGCGUCAGAACUUCAAUCGGAGUGGCUUCCCUGGCCACGAUGAAGAGGAAGUUUGCAAGCUCUGGGGCAUACUCAUCUGUGAUUGCUUUGGACUUUUCUGA